rnacentral:rRNA from 1 species
GAGAUGUUGGGUUAAGUCCCGCAACGAGCGCAACCCUUAUUGUCAGUUGCCAUCAUAUAGUUGGGCACUCUGGUGAGACCGCCUCGGAUAACGGGGAGGAAGGUGGGGAUGACGUCAAGUCCUCAUGGCCUUUAUGUCCAGGGCUACACACGUGCUACAAUGGCCGGUACAAACCGUCGCAAACCCGCGAGGGGGAGCUAAUCGGAAAAAGCCGGCCUCAGUUCGGAUUGCAGUCUGCAACUCGACUGCAUGAAGCUGGAAUCGCUAGUAAUCGCGGAUCAGAAUGCCGCGGUGAAUACGUUCCCGGGCCUUGUA